AGUGAACGCUGGCGGUAGGCCUAACACAUGCAAGUCGAACGGCAGCACAGUAAGAGCUUGCUCUUACGGGUGGCGAGUGGCGGACGAGUGAGGAAUACAUCGGAAUCUACUUUUUCGUGGGGGAUAACGUAGGGAAACUUACGCUAAUACCGCAUACGACCUACGGGUGAAAGCAGGGGAUCUUCGCACCUUGCGCGAUUGAAUGAGCCGAUGUCGGAUUAGCUAGUUGGCGGGGUAAAGGCCCACCAAGGCGACGAUCCGUAGCUGGUCUGAGAGGAUGAUCAGCCACACUGGAACUGAGACACGGUCCAGACUCCUAUGGGAGGCAGCAGUGGGGAAUAUUGGACAAUGGGCGCAAGCCUGAUCCAGCCAUACCGCGUGGGUGAAGAAGGCCUUCGGGUUGUAAAGCCCUUUUGUUGGGAAAGAAAAGCAGCAGGUUAAUACCCCGCUGUUCUGACGGUACCCAAAGAAUAAGCACCGGCUAACUUCGUG
rnacentral:rRNA from 1 species